CUUUCAGUCAUUGGGGAGUAGCCUGUUCCAAAACAUUUUUGGAAAAUUCGUAUCAACAUACUCGUUUUCAACAAAACGUGGUACGAGUGCCUGAAGAGUCUAACAAAAAUAAGCUCUGAAUCGGUUGGCAAGACCAUAGACACAUGA
rnacentral:sRNA from 1 species